UACGGAGGGUGCGAGCGUUGUUCGGAUUCAUUGGGCGUAAAGGGUGCGUAGGCGGCGCGGUAAGUCGGGUGUGAAAUCUUGGAGCUUAACUCCGAAACUGCAUUCGAUACUGCCGUGCUUGAGGACUGGAGAGGAGACUGGAAUUUACGGUGUAGCGGUGAAAUGCGUAGAUAUCGUAAGGAAGACCAGUGGCGAAGGCGGGUCUCUGGACAGUUCCUGACGCUGAAGCACGAAGGCCAGGGGAGCAAACGGG
rnacentral:rRNA from 1 species